rfam:Streptomyces rimosus subsp. rimosus ATCC 10970 contig00072, whole genome shotgun sequence.
GCCGGUCCUCGGUAGUGGCCCCCGGAUGGCACGCGGACGACCGCGCGGCCCCGUAUCCGGGUGCUUCGAUCGAAGACCGGC